rnacentral:rRNA from 1 species
GAUGAACGCUGGCGGCGUGCCUAAUACAUGCAAGUCGAGCGAAGCGGGGACGGGUGAGUAACACGUGGAUAACCUCCUAUAAGACUGGGAUAACUUCGGGAAACCGGAGCUAAACCGGGUAACUAUAGGUGGAUCCGCGGGGCAUUAGCUAGUUGGUCAGGUAACGGCGUCCAAAGGCAACGAUGCAUAGCCGACCUGAGAGUGUGAUCGGCCACACGGGAAAGUAGACACGGGCCAGACUCCUACGGGAGGCAGCAGUAGGGAAUCUUCCGCAAUGGGCGAAAGCCUGAUGGAGCAACGCCGCGUGAGUGAUGAAGGUCUUCGGAUCGUAAAACUCUGUUAUUAGGUAAGCGGUACCUAAUCAGAAAGCCACGGCGAACUACGGGCCAGCAGCCGCGGUAAUGC